rnacentral:rRNA from 1 species
UACGUAGGGAGCAAGCGUUGUCCGGAAUCAUUGGGCGUAAAGCGCGCGUAGGUGGCCUCAUAAGUCCGCUGUGAAAGUCAAAGGCUCAACCUUUGAAAGCCGGUGGAUACUGUGGGGCUAAAGUACGGAAGAGGCGAGUGGAAUUCCUGGUGUAGCGGUGAAAUGCGCAGAUAUCAGGAGGAACACCAAUGGCGAAGGCAGCUCGCUGGGACGGUACUGACGCUGAGACGCGAAAGCGUGGGGAGCAAACAGG